CGUUAGCGGCGGACGGGUGAGUAACACGUGGAUAACCUACCUAUAAGACUGGGAUAACUUCGGGAAACCGGAGCUAAUACCGGAUAAUAUAUUGAACCGCAUGGUUCAAUGGUGAAAGACGGUUUUGCUGUCACUUAUAGAUGGAUCCGCGCCGCAUUAGCUAGUUGGUAAGGUAACGGCUUACCAAGGCAACGAUGCGUAGCCGACCUGAGGAGGGUUAUCGGCCACACUGGAACUGAGACACGGUCCAGACUCCUACGGGAGGCAGCAGGG
rnacentral:rRNA from 1 species